rnacentral:rRNA from 1 species
UAAUAGCGUAUACUUAAGUUGUUGCAGUUAAAAAGCUCGUAGUCGGAUGUCGGGCUUGGGCAGGCUGUCGGCUUUUGUCGGACGGCAGGCUCGGGCCUUUCUGCCUGGGGACCGCGUCACGCUUCACUGUGGGGCGUCGGGACGCAGGCCGUUUACUUUGAAAAAAUUAGAGUGUUCAAAGCAGGUCUACGCUUGAAUACAUUAGCAUGGAAUAAUGGAAUAGGACUUUGGUGCCAUUCUGUUGGUUUAUGGAACCGAAGUAAUGAUUAAUAGGGACAGUUGGGGCCGUUUAUAUUUCGUUGUCAGAGGUGAAAUUCUCGGAUUUACGAAAGAUGAACUUCUGCGAAAGCAUUCGGCAAGGAUGUUUUCAUUGA